rnacentral:piRNA from 1 species
UUCUAUGGAAAAGAGUGCAUAAAAUUGGC